rnacentral:rRNA from 1 species
UACGAGGGGGGCGAGCGUUGUUCGGAAUUAUUGGGCGUAAAGGGUGCGUAGGCGGUUCCGCAAGUCCUGUGUGAAAUCUUCGGGCUCAACUCGAAGUCUGCACGGGAAACUGCGGGGCUUGAGUGUGGGAGAGGUGAGUGGAAUUCCCGGUGUAGCGGUGGAAUGCGUAGAGAUCCGGAAGAACACCAGUGGCGAAGGCGGCCCGCUGGGCAGUGGCUGACGCUGAGGCGCGACAGCGUGGGGAGCAAACAGG